rnacentral:rRNA from 1 species
CAGUCGCCGCGGGAAUACGUAGGGUGCGAGCGUUAAUCGGAAUUACUGGGCGUAAAGCGUGCGCAGGCGGUUAUAUAAGACAGAUGUGAAAUCCCCGGGCUCAACCUGGGACCUGCAUUUGUGACUGUAUAGCUAGAGUACGGUAGAGGGGGAUGGAAUUCCGCGUGUAGCAGUGAAAUGCGUAGAUAUGCGGAGGAACACCGAUGGCGAAGGCAAUCCACUGGACCUGUACUGACGCUCAUGCACGAAAGCGUGGGGAGCAAACAGGAUUAGAUACCCGCGUAGUCCCUGUCUCUUAUAA